rnacentral:rRNA from 1 species
CAAUGAAGCGAGUGGCGAACUGGUGAGUAACACGUGGGGAAUCUGCCCAGAAGCAGGGGAUAACACUUGGAAACAGGUGCUAAUACCGUAUAACAACAAAAUCCGCAUGGAUUUUGUUUGAAAGGUGGCUUCGGCUAUCACUUCUGGAUGAUCCCGCGGCGUAUUAGUUAGUUGGUGAGGUAAAGGCCCACCAAGACGAUGAUACGUAGCCGACCUGAGAGGGUAAUCGGCCACAUUGGGACUGAGACACGGCCCAAACUCCUACGGGAGGCAGCAGUAGGGAAUCUUCCACAAUGGACGAAAGUCUGAUGGAGCAAUGCCGCGUGAGUGAAGAAGGGUUUCGGCUCGUAAAACUCUGUUGUUAAAGAAGAACACCUUUGAGAGUAACUGUUCAAGGGUUGACGGUAUUUAACCAGAAAGCCACGGCUAACUACGUGCCAGCAGCCGCGGUAAUACGUAGGUGGCAAGCGUUGUCCGGAUUUAUUGGGCGUAAAGCGAGCGCAGGCGGUUUUUUAAGUCUGAUGUGAAAGCCUUCGGCUUAACCGGAGAAGUGCAUCGGAAACUGGGAGACUUGAGUGCAGAAGAGGACAGUGGAACUCCAUGUGUAGCGGUGGAAUGCGUAGA